rnacentral:rRNA from 1 species
GCAUAUCAUAGCGGAGAAAAGAAACUAACAAGGGAUUCCCCUAGUAACUGCGAGUGAAGCGGGAAGAGCUCAAAUUUAAAAUCUGGCGGUCUUCUGGCUGUCCGAGUUGUAAUCUGGAGAAGCGUUUUCUGUGUUAGACCGUGUACAAGUCUCCUGGAACGGAGCGUCAUAGAGGGUGAGAAUCCCGUCCAUGGCACGGACAACUAAUACUUUGUGAUACGCUCUCGAAGAGUCGAGUUGUUUGGGAAUGCAGCUCAAAAUGGGUGGUAAAUUCCAUCUAAAGCUAAAUACAGGCGAGAGACCGAUAGCGAACAAGUACCGUGAGGGAAAGAUGAAAAGCACUUUGGAAAGAGAGUUAAACAGUACGUGAAAUUGUUGAAAGGGAAACGCUUGAAGUCAGUCGCGUUGUGCAGAACUCAGCCUUGCCUCGGCUUGGUGUACUUUCUGCACAACGGGUCAACAUCAAUUUUGGCCCAUGGAGAAAGGUGGGGGGAAUGUAGCGCUGUUUCGGCAGCGUGUUAUAGCCCCUCAUUGUAUACAUGGGCUGGGAUUGAGGAACGCAGCACGCCCUUGUGGCCGGGGGUUCGCCCUACGUACCGUGCUUAGGAUGUUGGCAGAAUGGCUUUAAGCGACCCGUCUUGAAACACGGACCAAGGAGUCUAACAUGCUUGCGAGUGUUCGGGUGGAAAACCCUUGUGCGUAAUGAAAGUGAAAGUUGGGAACCUCCGCAAGGGGGUGCACCGACGCCCGGCCCUGACGUUCUCUGACGGUGCUGCGGUAGAGCAAGUAUGCUAGGACCCGAAAGAUGGUGAACUAUGCCUGAAUAGGGCGAAGCCAGAGGAAACUCUGGUGGAGGCUCGUAGCGAUUCUGACGUGCAAAUCGAUCGUCAAAUUUGGGUAUAGGGGCGAAAGACUAAUCGAAACCAUCUAGUAGCUGGGUCUGCGGA